rnacentral:rRNA from 1 species
UGAGGAUGUAAAUUUUUUUUUUGAGUAGUAUUAGUUAUUUUCUUGAAACUUAAAGAAUUUGGCGGUAUUUUAUUCCGUUCAGAGGAAUCUGUCUCGUGAUCGAUAGUCCGCGUUGAACCUUUCUUUAUUUAUUUUUGUAUACCUCCGUUGUGGAGAAUUUUUUUAGGGUUUAAUUUUCAUUUAAUUUUUUACGUAUUUUAUUUCAGGUCAAGGUGCAGAUUUUAUUAAAGUUUUGAUGGAUUACAUUGUUUUUUAUUUUUAUUUGGUUUAUUUUUGGAAAUUCUUAUUAAAUUGGAUUUGAUUGUAAUUUUAUGUAGAUUGUUAUUAUGGAAUGGCUCUAAAAUAUGU